rnacentral:rRNA from 1 species
UCAGAUUGAACGCUGGCGGCGUGCUUAACACAUGCAAGUCGAACGCGAAAGGGACUUCGGUCCUGAGUAAAGUGGCGCACGGGUGAGUAACGCGUGGAUAAUCUGCCCUUAUGAUCGGGAUAACAGUUGGAAACGGCUGCUAAUACCGGAUACGCUCAAAAUGAACUUUUUGAGGAAAGAUGGCCUCUGCUUGCAUGCUAUCACGUAAGGAUGAGUCCGCGUCCCAUUAGCUUGUGGCGGGUAACGCCCACCAAGGCAACGAUGGGUAGCCGAUUUGAGAGGAUGAUCGGCCACACUGGAACUGAAACACGGUCCAGACUCCUACGGGAGGCAGCAGUGGGGAAUAUUGCGCAAUGGGCGAAAGCCUGACGCAGCGACGCCGCGUGAGGGAUGAAGGUUUUCGGAUCGUAAACCUCUGUCAGAAGGGAAGAAACUACGUUGUGCUAAUCACGCAGCGUACUGACGGUACCUUCAAAGGAAGCACCGGCUAACUCCGUGCCAGCCGCGGC